GUACAAUGAUCCCAGGUGAAGGCCAGUAACAAGUGGAAUGCUGCAAUAAUCUAGUAUUGUUCAAUAUUUUCAUCAGUUAUUUGGAUAAUGAGAUUAUAAUCAUUUACUGUAUCCCACAGCAAAUUCAAGAUAGCGUUAAUUGAGGGAAAGUGAUUGCUAUACCAAGCAGCAAAGAUUUAACACAGUAGACCCUUGUGAAAUACGACUAUUGUACUAAGAAGAACUUCAUGAUAUCCAGCAGUGGAUUAUUCCUGGAGUGGAAUAAUCCCAUACACUGGCAGAGGUUGGGAACUGAAUGGCUGAGCUUUAGUGAAGGUGAUCUGGAGAUUGUGGUUGAUGCCUGAAUGAGUAUGAGUCAAGAGGCUGCUCUCACGGAAAAUAAUGCAAAAAGCACACUGAAUUACAUCAGAAAUGUGCUCAGAAUAUUUGGAGAAACUGUUGCCUCCUUUAUUUAUCUCUGGUGAGACCAGUUUUGAAUCUCCCAAGAUAUUAAGAACCUUAAAGAACCUAGUAAAGAUCUGUAGAUAUAGCCAGGAGAUUACGGCAUAUUACCUGCAGGAAGGUAGGGUUUGGCUGCACAGGCUAUUUCCACAUUCAGUUGUCAUUGGAAAGGGAAGAGCUCACCAGGGAAGAGAACUGUUUCAAAGACUCCAUAUAAGGGAACACUAACUGGGACAGAGAAUUCAGAUAAAUAUGCUAAGAAGAACAGGAAAGUCACAACCACUGAAGACUCUUGAUGGUACCUUGAGGGGAAUGCAUUGGAAAGAGGUAGCAAUAACUCAUAAAGCUUGUCAUUUUGCCAUAAGAACAGGCCAAGUAGAGCAAGAAGAAAUAACCCAAAGCACUGUUUACAGCACUAGAAUAAUUGCAUUUAAAAUGCCAAGCUGUGUUUAUUAGCUGGAAUAUAUCAGUUAAGUUCUUAUGGUUUCUAUCCUAAGAUGCAUGCAGGCAUGACACAUUUGUUUUUACUAUAUACUGGACUAAAUUGCCAGUAAUGGUCAGCAGCACUCAUAGCUCUACGGGCAUGAGUUCCCACUGUCUGUAGUCAAGAUGCUCUUGCUUUCAUUGUCUUUCUUCAAAUGGGUUGGUCACAAUUGUUAUUGAAUUAAAAAAGCAGCUAUUCAAAAGGCCUGAACAGCAAGGUUGUGUUUAGCUCUGUUCCCUUACUGAACUCUGCAGGUCUCUGCCAGAAUAACCGAGGAUUUAAUUUAGCUUUUCAUCACCCAGUGGUAAGAUAAAACAUGUGUGGAUGCAAGGCCACAAGUGUUUAAUAGCGUGUAGCAAAACUUUACAAAUCUGGGUAAUUAUUGUUCAUUUCUGCUGUUAUUACAUUGCUGGGCAGAGUUCAGGUUAAGAACCUUGCUUUGCUAAAAAUGAAUAUCAAGACAGAGCUUGUGCCAAAAAUGUUCAC
rnacentral:lncRNA from 1 species